rnacentral:rRNA from 1 species
UNGGAGAGGAAAGUGGAAUUCNUAGUGUAGCGGUGAAAUGCGUAGAUAUUAGGAAGANCACCAGUGGCGAAGGCGACUUUCUGGACGAAAACUGACGCUGAGGCGCGAAAGCCAGGGGAGCGAACGGGAUUAGAUACCCCGGUAGUCCUGGCCGUAAACGAUGGGUACUAGGUGUAGGAGGUAUCGACCUCUUCUGUGCCGGAGUUAACGCAAUAAGUACCCCGCCUGGGGAGUACGACCGCAAGGUUGAAACUCAAAGGAAUUGACGGGGGCCCGCACAAGCGGUGGAGUAUGUGGUUUAAUUCGACGCAACGCGAAGAACCUUACCAGGUCUUGACAUUGAUGGACAGAACUAGAGAUAGUUCCUCUUCUUCGGAAGCCAGAAAACAGGUGGUGCACGGUUGUCGUCAGCUCGUGUCGUGAGAUGUUGGGUUAANNNNNNCAACGAGCGCAACCCCUAUCUUAUGUUGCCAGCACGUAAUGGUGGGAACUCAUGAGAGACUGCCGCAGACAAUGCGGAGGAAGGCGGGGAUGACGUCAAAUCAUCAUGCCCCUUAUGACCUGGGCUACACACGUACUACAAUGGGAGUUAAUAGACGGAAGCGAGAUCGCGAGAUGGAGCAAACCCGAGAAACACUCUCUCAGUUCGGAUCGUAGGCUGCAACUCGCCUGCGUGAAGUCGGACUCGCUAGUAAUCGCAGGUCAGCAUACUGCGGUGAAUACGUUCCCGGGCCU